rnacentral:rRNA from 1 species
AGAGUUUGAUCCUGGCUCAGGAUGAACGUUGGCGGCGUGCCUAAUACAUGCAAGUCGAACGAAGACUGUAGUAAUACUGUCUUAGUGGCGAACGGGUGAGUAACGCGUGGGUGACCUGCCCCGAAGUGUGGGAUAACAGUUCGAAAGGAUUGCUAAUACUGCAUAAUAUCCAAGAGAUUAGACGCUUUUGGAUUAAAGGAGUAAUUCGCUUCGGGAGGGGCCCGCGUCCCAUCAGCUAGUUGGUAAGGUAAUGGCUUACCAAGGCGAUGACGGGUAGGGGACCUGAGAGGGUGGCCCCCCACAAUGGAACUGAAACACGGUCCAUACACCUACGGGUGGCAGCAGUAGGGAAUAUUAGUAAUGGGCGAAAGCCUGAACUAGCAACGCCGCGUGUGCGAAGAAGGCCUUCGGGUUGUAAAGCACUUUUUGAGAGGAUGAGGAAGGACGGUACUCUCAGAAUAAGUCUCGGCUAACUACGUGCCAGCAACCGCGGUGACACGUAGGAGGCAAACGUUAUCCGGAUUUACUGGGUGUAAAGCGCGUGUAGGUGGUUUGGUAAGUAGGGCGUGAAAGCUCCUGGCUCAACUGGGAGAGGACGUUCUAAACUGCCAAGCUUGAGGAUGGUAGAGGGAGGUGGAAUUCCGGGUGUAGCGGUGGAAUGCGCAGAUAUCCGGAGGAACACCAGUGGCGAAGGCGGCCUCCUGGACCACUCCUGACACUCAGACGCGAAAGCUAGGGUAGCAAACGGGAUUAGAGACCCCGGUAGUCCUAGCCCUAAACGAUGUAGACUUGACGUCGGUGGUUUAAUCGCCAUCGGUGUCGUAGCUAACGCGAUAAGUCUACCGCCUGGGGACUAC